ACACUUACCUGGCAGGGGUGAUACUAUGAUCACCGAGGUGGUUUUCCCAGGGCGAGCCAUAUCCAUUGCAUUCUGGAUGUACUGACCCUUGUGAUUUCCCCAAAUGUGGGAAACUUGGCUGCAUAAUUUGUGGUAGUGGGGGACUGCAUUUACACUCUCCCCUG
ensembl:snRNA U1 spliceosomal RNA